AAACGUCACUAUUUUGUCUCCUUCCUCUUCUGUGAAAUCAUGUUGGGUGUGUCAAUUGUCUGGCCUCAAGUUUGGGUUUGCGUUUGUGGAGGCAGGCAAAACAGAUCCAAAGAACAUCUCCAAUGUCAUCUUUAAAAAUGUAGCAGACACAUGUAAGUUGACAUUUUUUGGUCGUUUUUUUUUGCCUAGUUUGAAGAUAAUCUAGGAGAUUAUAAAAAUAUAAAUGUCUUGAGAUGC
rnacentral:lncRNA from 1 species